UACAGAGGGUGCAAGCGUUGUCCGGAAUCAUUGGGCGUAAAGCGCGCGUAGGUGGCCUCAUAAGUCCGCUGUGAAAGUCCAAGGCUCAACCUUGGAAAGCCGGUGGAUACUGUGAGGCUAGAGUACGGAAGAGGCGAGUGGAAUUCCUGGUGUAGCGGUGGAAUGCGCAGAUAUCAGGAGGAACACCAAUAGCGAAGGCAGCUCGCUGGGACGUUACUGACGCUGAGGCGCGAAAGCGUGGGGAGCGAACAGG
rnacentral:rRNA from 1 species